rnacentral:rRNA from 1 species
GACGAACGCUGGCGGCGCGCUUAACACAUGCAAGUCGAGCGAGAUCCAGGCCUUCGGGCCUGGGGACAGCGGCGAACGGGUGAGUAACACGUGGGUAAUCAACCCUCGACACUGGGAUAGCCCGGGGAAACCCGGAUUAAUACCGGAUGGCCCUUUGGAUCCUCGGAUCUGAAGGAAAAGGUAGCUUCGGCCUCCGGUCGAGGACGAGCCCGCGGCGGAUUAGCUUGUUGGUGAGGUAACGGCUCACCAAGGCGACGAUCCGUAGCUGGUCUGAGAGGACGAUCAGCCACACUGGGACUGAGACACGGCCCAGACUCCUACGGGAGGCAGCAGUGGGGAAUCUUGCGCUAAUGCGGGAAACCGUGACGCAGCGACGCCGCGUGAGGGAAGAAGGCCUUCGGGUUGUAAACCUCUUUCAGGAGGGACGAAGCCACUCGGGUGAAUAGCCCAGAGGGUGACGGUACCUCCAGAAGAAGCCCCGGCUAACUACGUGCCAGCCGCCGCCGUAACAC